AAAAGCUUUUUUUUUUUUUUUUAAUAGGAGGGAAGAGAGUUUUAAGACAGCAAACAUUUAUUUCAUAGGCAAGCAAAAGGACAUUAUAUGAUGCUAAAAAAGACAAAUAAGGGGAAUUUCUUCAGCAGUAACUAAAGUCAAUGAAGAAAGUAAAGGACUUGCAAAAGUUUCCUAGCUGAUUCUGCCAACUGAAAUAGUUUUAUUAUGCUCUUCUUGUGGACAGAAUGAGUCUCAAAACUGAAAUCAAUUCAAUAAUUGUCCAAAUCCAUCUGAGGCCCUGUGUCUGUAUAAACUGAUUUCCAUGGCUGCUCCUCCAUGUAAGACUUUGCCAUUCUCUGCCUCCAAAAGGACUUGGAUCUAGGAUGACCAUAGCAUCAGGAACUUCUAGGAUUCCAGUCUGAAACCACUGUCAGAGUAAGGGCCACAUCAACCCAUGAGAUCAAGCAGGCAUCUUUUGACUAUGGAGAUAAUCAGCCAGUGCCUCUGACCAAGCCAUGUUUUAAUCCAAGAGUAACUACCCUUGGAGAAUAUCGCCUGUUUCCGGGAGUAAGAAGAAAAUGGUCUGCACCAUGGCAACAUGUAUUACUACUGGCUGCCCAGUGGAGCAAAAGGAACUCUGUUCGGGGCUAGAUUUCACGUCAGACAGAAAGGUUAUCGUGGAGACACAAAAAAACAUAUGUUCUUGGGCGUAUAGGUUUGAACCAUAUUUAAAUCAUAUGAGAUGAUAACAUUGAGUAGAACUGGUUGAGUAUCACACAUAAACAUUCAAAGUGGAUUAAUUUUAUUUUGCAUUACGUUCCAUUUGGAUUCUCUUAAACAAAAAGCCAUCAUUUUUUCUACAACCACCAAUUUUAUAGCAGAUGUUAUACAUUCUUUGAAAGCAAAGACUGUGACAUUUAUCUUUGUAUUUCUUUCAGCACCUAUGUAAAGAUUUCUAAUAAAUGCUUGAUGGAUAUAUUAAUGGUUUCUUUA
rnacentral:lncRNA from 1 species